GGUGAUGUGGUGUAAUGGUAGCACGUGACGUUGUGGCUAACAGCCUAGGCGCAAUCCCGUUUCAAUCUGGGUUCGAUUCCCAGCAUCGCCA